UAAUACCGCAUACCGCCUGGAGGGGGAAAGGUGGGGGAUCGCAAGACCUCACGUUAUUCGAGCGGCCAACGUCUGAUUAGCUAGUUGGUGGGGUAAAGGCCUACCAAGGCGACGAUCAGUAGCGGGUCUGAGAGGAUGAUCCGCCACACGUGGGACUGAGACACCGGCCCAGACUCCUACGGGGAGGCAGCAGGUGGGGUAAUUUUGGACAAUGGGGGCAACCCUGAUCCAGCCAUUCCGCGUGAGUGAAGAAGGCCUUCGGGUUGUAAAGCUCUUUCAGCUGGAGUGAAACGGUGCGCUCUAACAUAGCGCGCUAAUGACGGUACCAGCAGAAGAAGCACCGGCUAACUACGUG
rnacentral:rRNA from 1 species